GCUUCUGAUGACAAGAUGGUGAUCGAGUGGUGUAGAGUGGGUGAUCCCUCCGGGCUUGCGAUCGAGUGAAACUAAGCUGUUGGCUUCUCCGGGGUUGUGAUCGAGUGAUAUGUCCUUCAUGACAGCUUCUGCUCGAUCUUGCGAUCGAGUGGUUUCUUCUGAAAUUGCUCCGGGGUUGUGAUCGAGUGGUUUUGCCCUUCAUGACAGUUUCUGGGGUUGUGAUCGAGUGCUUUGCUCUGUCAGGGCUCCG
rnacentral:lncRNA from 1 species